UGAGUAACACGUAUCCAACCUGCCGUCUACUCUUGGCCAGCCUUCUGAAAGGAAGAUUAAUCCAGGAUGGCAUCAUGAGUUCACAUGUCCGCAUGAUUAAAGGUAUUUUCCGGUAGACGAUGGGGAUGCGUUCCAUUAGAUAGUAGGCGGGUAACGGCCCACCUAGUCAACGAUGGAUAGGGGUUCUGAGAGGAAGGUCCCCCACAUUGGAACUGAGACACGGUCCAA
rnacentral:rRNA from 1 species